rnacentral:pre_miRNA from 10 species
ACAAUCCUCAAGGAUAAGUCAUUCUAAGUAGUAGUGCCGCAGGUAACAACAAUUGAGUUUACCUGUUCUCUGCUACUUAACAUGACCAUCCAUGCUUGAACA